rnacentral:misc_RNA from 1 species
GAUGAAGAACGCAGCGAAAUGCGAUAAGUAGUGUGAAUUGCAGAAUUCAGUGAAUCAUCGAAUCUUUGAACGCACAUUGCGCCUUCUAGUAUUCUGGGAGGCAUGCCUGUUUGAGCGUCAUUAAACCUCUCUCAAGUAUGAUUACUUGGAUGUGAAGGAAGAGUACCUUAAACUUAAGGAGUGUUCUCCUUUGAAAUUGAUUAGAAGAUGGUAAUGUUAUUAAAUCCCUGAUGUUGUAAGAAAUAACAGUGGUUUUGUAGACUAUUAUCUAGCUUUAAAUUAUAAUUUUUAUUAUGGUUGACCUCAAAUCAGGUAAGGAUACCCGCUGAACUUAAGCAUAUCAAUAAGCGGAGGA